rnacentral:rRNA from 1 species
UACGUAGGGGGCUAGCGUUGUCCGGAUUUAUUGGGCGUAAAGAGCGUGUAGGCGGCCAGGUAGGUCUGCUGUGAAAACUCGAGGCUCAACCUCGAGACGUCGGCGGAAACCAUCUGGCUAGAGUCCGGAAGAGGAGAGUGGAAUUCCUGGUGUAGCGGUGAAAUGCGCAGAUAUCAGGAAGAACACCCGUGGCGAAGGCGGCUCUCUGGGACGGUACUGACGCUGAGACGCUAAAGCGUGGGGAGCGAACAGG